CCAUCUGGAAGAAUCUGGAGACAGGUGCUGCAUGGCUGUCGUCAGCUCGUGUCGUGACGAUGUUGGGUUAAGUCCCGCAACGAGCGCAACCCUUGCCUUUAGUUGCCAGCAGUUCGGCUGGGCACUCUAAAGGGACUGCCGGUGUUAAACCGGAGGAAGGUGGGGAUGACGUCAAGUCCUCAUGGCCUUUAUGACCAGGGCUACACACGUACUACAAUGGCCGAUACAAAGGGCAGCGACACUGCGAGGUGAAGCCAAUCCCGUAAAAUCGGUCUCAGUCCGGAUUGGAGUCUGCAACUCGACUCCAUGAAGUUGGAAUCGCUAGUAAUCGUGGAUCAGCAUGCCACGGUGAAUACGUUCCCGGGCCUU
rnacentral:rRNA from 1 species